UACGUAGGGUGCGAGCGUUGUCCGGAAUUAUUGGGCGUAAAGGGCUCGUAGGCGGUUUGUUGCGUCGGAAGUGAAAACUCAGGGCUUAACCCUGAGCCUGCUUCCGAUACGGGCAGACUAGAGGUAUGCAGGGGAGAACGGAAUUCCUGGUGUAGCGGUGAAAUGCGCAGAUAUCAGGAGGAACACCGGUGGCGAAGGCGGUUCUCUGGGCAUUACCUGACGCUGAGGAGCGAAAGCGUGGGGAGCGAACAGG
rnacentral:rRNA from 1 species